CCUUGAUUGGCCAGCUGCUGGUGGCUAGGCAACCAGGCAGGGGCUCUGUGGAGUAAACCUCAGACUUCAUCUCUGCAGGAGCUGUGCAGCAAGAAGCUCUGGGAUCAAUUAAAAUGCCAGGCUUUUCCAGGCUUGUUUCCAGAGCAUCUGGGCAUGAUUCCACAUAAAUUUAAGGAAUUAGAGAUCAGACAAAGAGCAUUUUGAGGUCUGUUUCCCCAGGAUCUAACGUCUUGAUCCAGUGGAAACUGCCACACACUGAAGAGGGUAAGUGUUCCAGAAAUCCAUGCAUAAGCCUUAUGUCCUUUCACUCAGAGAGAAACAGCUCACUCUGGCCCACUUCUCCUCAGUACCCAAAGACACAACAUGCUUGCACUGAAGCCCCUGAUGGUCCAUCUCUGCAGACUCCUGAGAAGGACAUGGAGUACAGCUUCUUGUCUCCAGAUAAUUCUCUACACUGCUGGUUUAUAAUCUUCUUGUGUCUCCUAUUACAGACUGUGGUGGACAAGGCACAAGCCCUAGGAUUUCAGAGGUGAUGAAUAGGACCACAUCUGAUGUAUCUCUAGCUUCAGGUACUGAAAUAGCCCUGGGAAACUUGGGCUUAUAGCUCAAUACUAUCUACAUUCUUCCAUAUUGUCAAGCUCCCAUUCCCUGCAGCUAAGUUGGGCCAUACACAUGCCUCUAAGGGAA
rnacentral:lncRNA from 1 species